rnacentral:ncRNA from 1 species
GAUAAAUCAAUGAUGGGGAAGAAGGUAGCGUUAAUUGCGCAGCGAGCUGGGGUAGGUGUAAGCCCGGCCAAUGAGACUACUGGGCCACCCCGGAGAGCAAGCUGAAAUCCAAGUAAGCUUAGCCGGUUAGCUUCACCGUUAUCGAAGGCCGAGUGGGUUACCCUGCGAAAUGUGAGGUAGCCAAUUAGGGUGGUACCACGGAAUUAACUCCGUCCCUUCU